CAUUAGAUCAGAAGUGAUAUCUGGCCCGUUUAUACAUUUGAUCAGAAGUGAUAUCUGGGCCCGUUUAUACAUUAGAUCGAAGAGUAUUGACAGUGUUGACAGAAACAGUGUUUGGUUUUGUUCUACUUUAUGGCUGUCCCAAAUGGCCCUCUAUUCUCUAUAUAGGGAAUCCAAAUGGCCCUCUAUUCUCUAUAGAGGGAAUCCAAAUGGCCCUCUAUUCUCUAUAGAGGGAAUCCAAAUGGCCCUCUAUUCUCUAUAGAGGGAAUCCAAAUGGCCCUCUAUUCUCUAUAGAGGGAAUCCAAAUGGCCCUCUAUUCUCUAUAGAGGGAAUCCUAAAGGGUUAGGGUUUAGGGACUGACUCCUAAAGGGAAUUGUAGGCUGACUCCUAAAGGGAAUUGUAGGCUGACUCCUAAAGGGAAUUGUAGGCUGACUCCUAAAGGGAAUUGUAGGCUACCAAAAGAAAGGGUAUAUUUUUAUUUUCAUAAUUGUUGAUCAUUUUCUUGUGUAUUAUUAUUUUUUUUACAAAUUAUAUUUCAAUAAAGAACAUUGUAAUGUUA